rnacentral:piRNA from 2 species
AUCAUGAAUGAGAAGCCUCAGAAAAA